GGAGAAAUCUGGAUUAAUACCCCAUGGUAUCUACGAAUCGAUUGGCUUGUAGCUUAAAGAUUUAUCGGUAAAAGAUGGGCAUGCGUCUGAUUAGCUAGUUGGCGGGGUAACGGCCCACCAAGGCGACGAUCAGUAGGGGUUCUGAGAGGAAGGUCCCCCACACUGGCACUGAGAUACGGGCCAGACUCCUACGGGAGGCAGCAGUAGGGAAUAUUGGGCAAUGGUCGCAAGACUGACCCAGCCAUGCCGCGUGCAGGAAGACGGCCCUCUGGGUUGUAAACUGCUUUUAUCUGGGAAGAAAAAGUCCAUGCGUGGAAAAUUGCCGGUACCAGAUGAAUAAGCACCGGCUAACUCCGUGCCAGCAGCCGCGGUAAUACGGAGGGUGCAAGCGUUGUCCGGAUUUAUUGGGUUUAAAGGGUGCGUAGGCGGCUGAAUAAGUCAGCGGUGAAAGACUUCGGCUUAACCGGAGCAGUGCCGUUGAUACUGUUUGGCUUGAGUGUUGGAGGGGUACAUGGAAUUGAUGGUGUAGCGGUGAAAUGCAUAGAUACCAUCAGGAACACCGAUAGCGAAGGCAUUGUACUGGCCAACAACUGACGCUGAGGCACGAAAGUGUGGGGAUCGAACAGGAUUAGAUACCCUGGUAGUCCACACUGUAAACGAUGAUUACUCGCUGUUAUGGUGUAUGCUGUAGCGGCCAAGCGAAAGCGUUAAGUAAUCCACCUGGGGAGUACGCCGGCAACGGUGAAACUCAAAGGAAUUGACGGGGGUCCCACAAGCGGUGGA
rnacentral:rRNA from 1 species